UGGGGAAUAUUGCACAAUGGGCGCAAGCCUGAUGCAGCCAUGCCGCGUGUGUGAAGAAGGCCUUCGGGUUGUAAAGCACUUUCAGCGAGGAGGAAGGUGGUGAACUUAAUACGUUCAUCAAUUGACGCUACUCGCAGAAGAAGCACCGGCUAACUCCGUGCCAGCAGCCGCGGUAAUACGGAGGGUGCAAGCGUUAAUCGGAAUUACUGGGCGUAAAGCGCACGCAGGCGGUUUGUUAAGUCAGAUGUGAAAUCCCCGGGCUCAACCUGGGAACUGCAUUUGAAACUGGCAAGCUAGAGUCUCGUAGAGGGGGGUAGAAUUCCAGGUGUAGCGGUGAAAUGCGUAGAGAUCUGGAGGAAUACCGGUGGCGAAGGCGGCCCCCUGGACGAAGACUGACGCUCAGGUGCGAAAGCGUGGGGCAGCAAACAGGAUUAGAUACCCUGGUAGUCCACGCUGUAAACGAUGUCGAUUUGGAGGUUGUGCCCUUGAGGCGUGGNUUCCGGAGCUAACGCGUUAAAUCGACCGCC
rnacentral:rRNA from 1 species